rnacentral:snoRNA from 1 species
GCCUUGCACGUGGGCCUACCUGGGUUUGAUUCCUGGCAUCACAUAUGGUCCAUCGAGCCUGCCAGGAGUUAUCCAUGAGCAAAGAAAGAAAGGAAGGAAAAGGUUAUAUAGUCAAAGGUGCCUGAGUCAUUGGCAUGUGAGAUCAAUAUACCUGCAUGUUAGUCUUAAAUCCUGAUAGAAAUGACAUGCAAUUAUGCUGCCAUUCUUGACUAUCAGGACCUGACUGUUGUGUGGACACU